rnacentral:rRNA from 1 species
CACGUAGGGGGCGAGCGUUGUCCGGAUUUAUUGGGCGUAAAGAGCUCGUAGGCGGUUCGGUAAGUCGGGUGUGAAACCUCCAGGCUCAACCUGGAGACGCCACCCGAUACUGCUGUGACUUGAGUCCGGUAGGGGAGCGUGGAAUUCCUGGUGUAGCGGUGAAAUGCGCAGAUAUCAGGAGGAACACCAGCGGCGAAGGCGGCGCUCUGGGCCGGAACUGACGCUGAGGAGCGAAAGCGUGGGUAGCAAACAGG